ACCAUAUUAUCAGCCUCUUGAUUUUUUUAAUUUCCCAGAUGCAGAUACCAGAGUGCACCUGGAGUUGCUGAUUGCCUGUUUUGUACUUAGCCUAAGCAGCCCUUCUCCUCAUGUGAAUUGUUUAAACAGCCUCUGCCAAGUCAUCUUUUAUCACAGAGGUGAACCAGGCUUCUUCAAUGUGUCUCAAAGUUCUGUUUGGCUCAUCUUCCAUGUAUCGAGGCCACCUGAUAGAGGACUUCUGCUUCGGGAACGAGUCUGCAUGUGAGCAUGAUGAAGAAGGGAGAAGGGAAGAAGUAACAGCUGUUGAGCAACUUCUUUGGCAUUCAUGAGGGUUGAAUGAGAAGUAGGAGUAUGAAAUCAGGGUUGUGUGACUGUCAGGAGCACUGACACAAGAGUGUGGAGGGAGGACAAUCUGUUUCAGACCUGCACACUGAGAGGUUGGUACUACACAGUCUUUUUCUGAGUGACUUCUGUGGGUGCACCAGCCCACCACAACAAUCAACUUUUGCACACACUCUUAUGACUCAAGCCCCCCAAAGUGUAUGUAUAUACAUAUAAAUAAACAAAUAUGCUCUUGAAUGUACCUUACAGAGAGACAGGGAAGAAUUUCAAGGUGUCAUAGUCUGCGUCUUAAUUAGGUAUUCCCUCUUGAAUCUCACCUGAAGAUGGAGAGGCAGGUCCCAGAGCAUGUCCUAUUCAUGUCGCGGUUCCUCAACUUGUGAUUCUAAGCGUCCCUAAUACCACUUAAUUUGUCAGUUGAUAUAUAUAUGAUUGAGGGUUUAGUUUGAAGCUCUAAGAACAUGCUCAUUGGCACAUGUCCGAAGCUGCCUUUAUACACAUAAGGAUUUUAUUAUUUCAUAACUUUUAAAAUUGUUAAAUAUAUAUGUUAACUUCAGAGAUAUUUUGUGAAAUGACAUGGAAAAGCAGUUACAACAUAAAGGAUAAAAAUCCACACACUUAGGGUGCCUUAUUUAGUUUGUCAAAAACACUUAAACUGUUGAGUGAAUCUAAUGGAAUUCAGUGAAUCUGCAAAUACAUUUUCAGUCCACUGAAAAUGACUGUCAAUUCAAGGUUAAUUCAUGAAACUGAAUCAUGAGCAAAUAUUAUUUGGUAAAGAUGAAAAAGGCAAAGAAAUCAUACAAACAAGGAAAUGGGUAUUAAAAAAUUAGAAAUUAGAACAAUGGAGAAAUGCUAACAGAGAUUUGUGCCAAUAAAAAAAAAAUUAUCUUAUAGUCUUUCUUUGACCGUCAUUUGCCUAUUUAUUGGUUCACUAUGUAGAAAGAUUAUCUGUUGACUUCAAUAGCACUAUUUCAAUUCAUGCAGGCAACCAUUUCCACUUGAAAAAAUCAUAAAUAUAAUUCAUGAGUGUUUUCUUACAUGAAUGGAAUUGCAAAGCUAUUCUUUUCUCCAUACAUUUUUUCACCCAAUUCUAUUUCAAAGUAUUAUUUUGAGCUAGCAUUAAAAUAUGAAUAAAUUUAGGAAUUCAUAAGCUUAUGUGGUUGUAUUUUCUUUUACAUAUAUUUUUAGGAAAAAAACAUUUUUUCAUGUUAGUUUUUCUUCAU